AUUGAAGCCAACAAUCCGCCAUUUUAAUUGAGGCCAGAACAUCAUAUCAGUUGUUAUUAUUUAUAAUGAUAACAAAUGUUUUUUCUUCAAGCUUAAAUUUUCAAUAUUAAAAAAAAAAUAAUUCUUAAGUUCACAAGUUGUAACUAUAAAUAAAUUCAAAAAUUAACUAUUAGAUAUUUUUAGUUUUACAUAUAAAUAAAAAAUGAAACCGGUCAUUUUCAAUUUUUUAUAAUAUAAAUAAAUAAAUCAAAUUGAGUAUUAAAACUAAAACAUUCUUCGUCAAAUUGUAUGAUACAAGAAUCAUUAGCUAUAGUAAGCUAUUAUUAGGAUAACAUUGAUCAGUAAAUUACAUGUUAUAAAUAAAAUAGUUUUCUUUAGUUUUUAUCUUUUGCCUGCCAUUUUAACGCUUGACCAUGUCAUUACUUAACUGCAAGUUUUUGUAAUUCUAUUUAAUCGCAAAAAGUGAAUCUUCAAUAGGUGACAAUAAUGCACAAUUUCCAGAACUCAUCUUAAUAGAAUUAUGCUAUAAGAUAAUUUUUAAAGCAUUUUUAAACUCCAAACCACUUGGGAGUUGGGUUAUUAUCAUGCCAACAUUUUCCCCGCAUAAAACCAAAGAAUAACUCUAUAGUGUCUUGACUGAAUUUAUAAGUGAGUAUAAACAUAAAACUAUGGUUUACCAAUAAAUCUUUAGUUAUAGUUAUUGUCGAUUUCACAUCUGUAGCAAAACCAAUAAUAAAUGUUUUUCUCUUACUCUUCUAUAAA